AUUGAACGCUGGCGGCAGGCCUAACACAUGCAAGUCGAGCGGUAACACAGGGAGCUUGCUCCUGGGUGACGAGCGGCGGACGGGUGAGUAAUGUCUGGGAAACUGCCCGAUGGAGGGGGAUAACUACUGGAAACGGUAGCUAAUACCGCAUAAUGUCGCAAGACCAAAGAGGGGGACCUUCGGGCCUCUUGCCAUCGGAUGUGCCCAGAUGGGAUUAGCUAGUAGGUGGGGUAACGGCUCACCUAGGCGACGAUCCCUAGCUGGUCUGAGAGGAUGACCAGCCACACUGGAACUGAGACACGGUCCAGACUCCUACGGGAGGCAGCAGUGGGGAAUAUUGCACAAUGGGCGCAAGCCUGAUGCAGCCAUGCCGCGUGUAUGAAGAAGGCCUUCGGGUUGUAAAGUACUUUCAGCGAGGAGGAAGGCAUUAAGGUUAAUAACCUUGGUGAUUGACGUUACUCGCAGAAGAAGCACCGGCUAACUCCGUGC
rnacentral:rRNA from 1 species